GAUUGAACGCUGGCGGAAUGCUUUACCCAUGCAAGUCGAGCGGCAGCGCGGCCUUCGGGCUGGCGGCGAGCGGCGAACGGGUGAGUAAUGCAUCGGAACAUGCCCAGUCGUGGGGGAUAACACUUCGAAAGAAGUGCUAAUACCGCAUACGUCCUGAGGGGGAAAGCGGGGGAUCGCAAGACCUCGCGCGAUUGGAGUGGCCGAUGUCAGAUUAGCUAGUUGGUGGGGUAAAGGCCUACCAAGGCGACGAUCUGUAGCUGGUCUGAGAGGAUGAUCAGCCACACUGGGACUGAGACACGGCCCAGACUCCUACGGGAGGCAGCAGUGGGGAAUUUUGGACAAUGGGGGCAACCCUGAUCCAGCCAUUCCGCGUGAGUGAAGAAGGCCUUCGGGUUGUAAAGCUCUUUCGGCAGGAACGAAACGGUGGGCUCUAACAUAGUCCGCUAAUGACGGUACCUGAAGAAGAAGCACCGGCUAACUACGUG
rnacentral:rRNA from 1 species